UGGGAGGGCGAGAGUGAAUGGAGAAACACCGAGAGCAAAGAGGGAGGGCAAGCUGGAUUUUCGGGCCGUCUCAUUUCCUGCUCGCCUUUUUAGCCCCCUUGACCCCCUCGAGAAAAGGAUGCGUCCUCCAAUUUGUCUGUCUUUGCUGGUAAGAGGUGAGAGGGAAAGCAAGUUCCAGGUGGGAAAAUACCGCAGGGAACAAUCUCCGCCCCCGCCCUCCGCAUUUCCUCCCACUCCGCGGUGUUCCCAAAACCUCUAGGCAGCAGGGGUAGAGGGAGUGCGAGAAAGAGUUAAUUUUGGCGGGGAAGGGGCGGGCGAACUAAGCUAACGUCCCCCGCGCCCUCCCAGAGCUGUUUGCCCGGCGCCACCCCUCCCCCGCCGGUUCGCCUCUUCUGCCUGGAGACUGGCGCUUAGAACCUAACCUAGCGGAGGCAGCCGCCAGCAUACAGCCAACUGCACACGGACACACCGCACUCAGACUCCCCACCCCCACGACGGAUCCCCAAGUCCACACACACCACGGCAGACAGAUCUACCAGCACAACGACAGUCCAUCGCAGGCAGACACGACGGUACCCAAGCAUGCACAGCCAUGUUGGACAGCCCAACACCGACUCGGGAUGCAACACACACACUCCCACUCCCACACUCCCUCUCUUCAGAAACAGAUUUAGACCCUCUAUGAGAAAACAAAAUAAAC
rnacentral:lncRNA from 1 species